rnacentral:snRNA from 1 species
AUAUCAUUUUGUUGUGUGAUG